rnacentral:rRNA from 1 species
AGAGUUUGAUCAUGGCUCAGGAUGAACGCUAGCGGCAGGCCUAAUACAUGCAAGUCGAACGGAGCAGCAAUGCUUAGUGGCGCACGGGUGCGUAACGCGUAUGCAACCUACCUAUCAGUGGGGAAUAGCCCGGGGAAACCCGGAUUAAUACCGCAUAAUAUAGUUAAAUGGCAUCAUUUGAUUAUUAAACAUUUAUGGCUGACAGAUGGGCAUGCGUUAGAUUAGCUAGUUGGUAGUGUAAGGGACUACCAAGGCAAUGAUCUAUAGGGGUUCUGAGAGGAAGAUCCCCCACACUGGUACUGAGAUACGGACCAGACUCCUACGGGAGGCAGCAGUAGGGAAUAUUGGGCAAUGCCCGCAAGGGUGACCCAGCCAUGCCGCGUGCAGGAAGAAGGCCUUCUGGGUUGUAAACUGCUUUUGGAAGGGAACAAAACGGCUCUGCGGAGCAACUUGAGUGUACCUUCAGAAUAAGCACCGGCUAACUCCGUGCCAGCAGCCGCGGUAAUACGGAGGGUGCAAGCGUUGUCCGGAUUUAUUGGGUUUAAAGGGUGCGUAGGCGGCUUGUUAAGUCAGGGGUGAAAGACUGCAGCUCAACUGUAGCAGUGCCUUUGAUACUGAUGAGCUUGAGUAUAGAUGAGGCCGGCGGAAUUUAUGGUGUAGCGGUGAAAUGCAUAGAUACCAUAAAGAACACCGAUUGCGAAGGCAGCCGGCUAAACUACAACUGACGCUGAGGCACGAAAGCGUGGGGAUCGAACAGGAUUAGAUACCCUAGUAGUCC